rnacentral:tRNA from 1 species
CGCGACUUAGUUAAAUUAUAAUGAUGGCUUUGGGGGCCAAGGAAAGAGGUUAGAGUCCUUUAGUCACGA